rnacentral:rRNA from 1 species
GACGAACGCUGGCGGCGUGCUUAACACAUGCAAGUCGAACGAUGAAGCCGGAGCUUGCUCCGGUGGAUUAGUGGCGAACGGGUGAGUAACACGUGAGCAAUCUGCCCUUGACUCUGGGAUAACUGCGGGAAACUGUAGCUAAUACCGGAUACGACACCUUGGGGCAUCCCAGGGUGUGGAAAGAAUUUCGGUCAAGGAUGAGCUCGCGGCCUAUCAGCUAGUUGGCGAGGUAAUGGCUCACCAAGGCGACGACGGGUAGCCGGCCUGAGAGGGUGACCGGCCACACUGGAACUGAGACACGGUCCAGACUCCUACGGGAGGCAGCAGUGGGGAAUAUUGCACAAUGGGCGAAAGCCUGAUGCAGCAACGCCGCGUGAGGGAUGAGGGCCUUCGGGUUGUAAACCUCUUUUAGCAGGGAAGAAGCGAAGGUGACGGUACCUGCAGAAAAAGCACCGGCUAACUACGUGCCAGCAGCCGCAGUAA